rnacentral:rRNA from 1 species
AGUGAACGCUGGCGGUAGGCCUAACACAUGCAAGUCGAACGGCAGCACAGUAAGAGCUUGCUCUUACGGGCGGCGAGUGGCGGACGGGUGAGGAAUACAUCGGAAUCUACUUUUUCGUGGGGGAUAACGUAGGGAAACUUACGCUAAUACCGCAUACGACCUACGGGUGAAAGCAGGGGAUCUUCGGACCUUGCGCGAUUGAAUGAGCCGAUGUCGGAUUAGCUAGUUGGCGGGGUAAAGGCCCACCAAGGCGACGAUCCGUAGCUGGUCUGAGAGGAUGACCAGCCACACGGGAACUGAGACACGGUCCAGACCCCUAGGGGGGGCCGGAGGGGGGAAUUUUGGAAAAGGGGCGAAAGCCUGACCCAGCCAAACCGGGGGGGGGAAGAAGGCCUUCGGGUUGUAAAGCCCUUUUGUUGGGAAAAAAAAGCAGCAGGUUAAUACCCCGCUGUUCUGACGGUACCCAAAGAAUAAGCACCGGCUAACUUCGU